CGUCGCAAGACCAAAGUGGGGGACCUUCGGGCCUCAUGCCAUCAGAUGUGCCCAGAUGGGAUUAGCUAGUAGGUGGGGUAACGGCUCACCUAGGCGACGAUCCCUAGCUGGUCUGAGAGGAUGACCAGCCACACUGGAACUGAGACACGGUCCAGACUCCUACGGGAGGCAGCAGUGGGGAAUAUUGCACAAUGGGCGCAAGCCUGAUGCAGCCAUGCCGCGUGUGUGAAGAAGGCCUUCGGGUUGUAAAGCACUUUCAGCGGGGAGGAAGGCGGUGAGGUUAAUAA
rnacentral:rRNA from 1 species